GACAAACGCUGGCGGCGUGCAUAAAACAUGCAAGUCGCACGGCCUCUUCGGAGGCAGUGGCAGACGGCUGAGUAACGCGUAGGGAUCUACCGCUCGGUGGGGAAUAACGGCCCGAAAGGGUCGCUAAUACCGCAUACGACCACUCGCAAGAGUGAGGAAAGCCGCAAGGCGCCGAACGAGGAACCUGCGUCCGAUUAGCUCGUUGGUGGGGUAAUGGCCUACCAAGGCGACGANCGGUAGCUGGUCUGAGAGCACGACCAGUCACACGGGCACUGAGACACGGGCCCGACUCCUACGGGAGGCAGCAGUAAGGAAUAUUGGUCAAUGGACGCAAGUCUGAACCAGCCAUGCCGCGUGAAGGAUGAAGGCCUUC
rnacentral:rRNA from 1 species